AUUGAACGCUGGCGGCAUGCCUUACACAUGCAAGUCGAACGGGUAACAGGGAGCUUGCUCCGCUGACGAGUGGCGAACGGGUGAGUAAAGUAUCGGAACGUACCUUUCAGUGGGGGGAUAAACGUAGCGAAAGUUACGCUAAUACCGCAUAUUCUGUGAGCAGGAAAGCAGGGGAUCGCAAGACCUUGCGCUGAUUGAGCGGCCGAUAUCAGGAUUAGCUAGUUGGUGAGGUAAAGGCUCACCAAGGCGACGAUCUGUAGCGGGUCUGAGAGGAUGAUCCGCCACACUGGAACUGAGACACGGUCCAGACUCCUACGGGAGGCAGCAGUGGGGAAUUUUGGACAAUGGGCGCAAGCCUGAUCCAGCCAUGCCGCGUGAGUGAAGAAGGCCU
rnacentral:rRNA from 1 species